GACGUAGGGCGCGAGCGUUGUCCGGAUUUAUUGGGCGUAAAGAGCUCGUAGGCGGCUUGUCGCGUCGUCCGUGAAAACUUGGGGCUCAACCCCAAGCUUGCGGUCGAUACGGGCAGGCUAGAGUUCGGUAGGGGAGACUGGAAUUCCUGGUGUAGCGGUGAAAUGCGCAGAUAUCGGGAGGAACACCGGUGGCGAAGGCGGGUCUCUGGGCCGAUACUGACGCUGAGGAGCGAAAGCGUGGGGAGCGAACAGG
rnacentral:rRNA from 1 species